GUAAACAACAGUUGUCCUCUCAGCAAACAGUUAAUUCUUGGUAUGAUACACAACACAAAGUCUUUAGUUCAAUCACAAACACCAACACUAUACUUUUUUAUUAAUUCUUCUCUUCUCCAGCUCUAUAGAUUGAAAAUCGAUUGCCAGGUGUGGGUUUCAAUGCAACUUGCCUGGCAAGAGUCUGAUCAUGACUUCUUCAUUAGUGACUUGGUGUUAAUCAUCCCAUUCCUUGUGUUGAAGGUCUUAUGACAGACUUCACCAAUGUCUGAUGACUGACUGCUGUGUUAAUUCUUCUGUAUUUUUUAUUUUUCCCUCUAACAAUUCCUUUUGUCUCAUCUUUGCACUAUUCAGGUGUCACCUGAUUCUUUAUAUCAUCAAUUUUCUUAAUUGUCUAUUGUUUUUAUUUUAUUGUGGAGGACAGAGUACAUCGGACCAAUUAGAAAAAUAAACAGAGUGGUC
rnacentral:lncRNA from 1 species